rnacentral:rRNA from 2 species
UACGGAGGGUGCGAGCGUUAUCCGGAAUUACUGGGUUUAAAGGGUGCGUAGGCGGCCAGGUAAGUCAGGAGUGAAAGUUUGCGGCUCAACCGUAAAAUUGCUUUUGAUACUGCCAGGCUAGAAUUAGGAUGAGGUCAGCGGAAUGUGGCAUGUAGCGGUGAAAUGCAUAGAUAUGCCAUAGAACACCAAUUGCGAAGGCAGCUGGCUAGACCUGGAUUGACGCUGAGGCACGAAAGCGUGGGGAGCGAACAGG